AUUGAACGCUGGCGGCAUGCCUUACAUAUGCAAGUCGAACGGUAACGGGCCUUCGGGUGCCGACGAGUGGCGAACGGGUGAGUAAUGCAUCGGAACGUACCUUUCAGUGGGGGAUAACGUAGCGAAAGUUACGCUAAUACCGCAUAUUCUGUGAGCAGGAAAGCAGGGGAUCGCAAGACCUUGCGCUGAUUGAGCGGCCGAUGUCAUGAUUAGCUAGUUGGUGAGGUAAAGGCUCACCAAGGCGACGAUCUGUAGCGGGUCUGAGAGGAUGAUCCGCCACACUGGGACUGUGACACGGCCCAGACUCCUACGGGAGGCAGCCGUGGGGAAUUUUGGACAAUGGGGGCAACCCUGAUCCAGCCAUGCCGCGUGAGUGAAGAAGGCCUUCGGGUUGUAAAGCUCUUUCGGCCGGGAAGAAAUUGCACAGGCUAAUCCCUUGUGUGGAUGACGGUGCCGGAAUAAGAAGCACCGGCUAACUACGUGCCAGCCGCCGCAGUAA
rnacentral:rRNA from 1 species